UUUGAAUAGUAUAUUGCAAGU
rnacentral:piRNA from 1 species